UGGGGAAUAUUGGACAAUGGGGGAAACCCUGAUCCAGCCAUCCCGCGUGUGCGAUGAAGGCCUUCGGGUUGUAAAGCACUUUUGGCAGGAAAGAAACGUCGCGGGUUAAUACCCCGCGGAACUGACGGUACCUGCAGAAUAAGCACCGGCUAACUACGUGCCAGCAGCCGCGGUAAUACGUAGGGUGCAAGCGUUAAUCGGAAUUACUGGGCGUAAAGCGUGCGCAGGCGGUUCGGAAAGAAAGAUGUGAAAUCCCAGAGCUUAACUUUGGGAACUGCAUUUUUAACUACCGGGCUAGAGUGUGUCAGAGGGAGGUGGAAUUCCGCGUGUAGCAGUGAAAUGCGUAGAUAUGCGGAGGAACACCGAUGGCGAAGGCAGCCUCCUGGGAUAACACUGACGCUCAUGCACGAAAGCGUGGGGAGCAAACAGGAUUAGAUACCCUGGUGGUCACGCCCUAAACGAUGUCAACUAGCUGUUGGGGUCUUCGGACCUUGGUAGCGCAGCUAACGCGUGAAGUUGACCGCCUGGGGAGUACGGUCGCAAGA
rnacentral:rRNA from 1 species